GAUGAACGCUAGCGACAGGCCUAACACAUGCAAGUCGAGGGGCAGCACAUGAGUAGCAAUACGAUGGUGGCGACCGGCGCACGGGUGAGUAACACGUAUGCAACCUGCCUGUAAGAGGGGGAUAACCCGGAGAAAUUCGGACUAAUACCGCAUAAUACCACGAGACUGCAUGGUUUUGUGGUUAAACAUUUAUGGCUUACAGAUGGGCAUGCGUAUGAUUAGAUAGUUGGUAGGGUAACGGCCUGCCAAGUCUACGAUCAUUAGGGGUUCUGAGAGGAAGGUCCCCCACACUGGUACUGAGACACGGACCAGACUCCUACGGGAGGCAGCAGUGAGGAAUAUUGGUCAAUGGGCGAGAGCCUGAACCAGCCAAGUCGCGUGAAGGAAGAAGGUUCUAUGGAUUGUAAACUUCUUUUGCAGGGGAAUAAAGGACGGUACGUGUACUGUUUUGUAUGUACCUUGCGAAUAAGGAUCGGCUAACUCCGUG
rnacentral:rRNA from 1 species